rnacentral:rRNA from 1 species
AGGGUGUAAACGCUGCAGACUUGGUGUUGGAAGUCCUUUGGGGGCAUUCAGUGCCGGAGAGAAGUUGUUAAGUCUGCUACUUGGGGAGUACGUCCGCAAGGAUGAAACUUAAAGGAAUUGGCGGGGGAGCACCGCAACGGGAGGAGCGUGCGGUUUAAUUGGAUUCAACACCGUAAACUCACCAGGGAAGACAGCGGAAUGAUUGCCGGGCUGAAGACUCUGCAUGACUAGCUGAGAGGUGGUGCAUGGCGUAGACGUCU